CGGCGGCGGCGGCGCCUCGCCGGCUGCUCUGCUCGCAAAGUCCGGCCGGCCGAGGCAGCCGGCAACUCCUCUCAACUUCUGCCGAUCGGCGGGCGAAGCCACACGCUCCCUGCGCGUCCCUCCCGGGGGCUGAGCGGGUCUUCAAUGCAACAAAAUGGAUUGAAUAGUACAAGUGAAAUGCUUAGAACAUGCCUGGCUCAUGUUAAGAACACGGACACUGCACUCACAUUUCAAGGCCCUGAGCUGGGGGGCUCUGAGUUCAACUCAAUGAAGCCCUUCUCACGUGCUGGAGAUUCUCCCAGACGUAAUGUGUCCUCGUGAGGUUCUUUCAACAACUCUGUGAAGUUGAUAUACUGUCGCUGUCUCCACAUCAUAACAGAUGACACAAAAACACAAGAGAACUGCCCGUGUGGUGGAGUGGGCUUGCGAAUCCAGGAUGCCAGCAUGAUCUUCCAGAGGUCACCCAGGGUUCCAGGGACAGGGGGUGGGUCCCAACCUUGCUGAGAAUCAUCCAGAGAGUUUUAGAAACACCAUGCUCUGGUUCUACCCCCAGAAACUAAGACUUAGUUAAGAAGAAACUAGUACCUGGAUCUUUUUUUAAGUCCCCGGAUGAGUCUAACAGGUAGUCAUGGUUGAGGACAGUUGGCUAUUUAGAGAUGAAAAGACCCAUUUGAGGAAAUAUCCCUAAGUCACAGAGAAGACCCAUCCAAAACUGUAAGAAGCCUCACAUUAUCAAAAUGUCCAUCCCUAACAGAGGUCCUUGAGAGAGUAAAGCUGUGCUGUGGGUUGGCUGAGUAUGCAGAGGUUUUUGAAGGACCUUGGGGAGGACUAUGCUGUAAUUGGACCAGUUAUCCUGCCUAACCCCUUCAUGGAUCACUGCCUUGUCGUGGCAAAGGGGCUUGCAUAACUCAAUGAAGCUAUGAGCCAGGCCAAGCAGGGCCACCCCAGAUAGACGGGUUGGGGUGGUUAUAUCUCCAGGAGAUGGUGGGGGACAGGGAGGCCUAGUGUGCUGCAGUCCAUGGGGUCAUAGACAGACAUGACUUAGCAACUGUACAACCACAAUCCUUCUUUAUGAGAUGCCACAGAAAAACCAAGUCGCCUGUCACUAGAAGGGUUCAGUUGGACUCAUUAUUUGGCAUAGAUGUAGUAGCAGAGCUGCAAACUCUGGAAGGCUGAGCAAUGCCUCUGAUGUUCCAUCCACCCCAUCUUCGUCUCCUCCAAGCCCCACCCCCGGAAGAUGAAGACCGUGUGUAGUAGAUGUUCUUCAGAAGCCAGCCAACCCUUCCUCUGCUGCCUCCCCAAAUCCAGCACCUGGGCUCAGGGUGCAGUUUCUCUGGCCUGCACACAUACUGUUUAGGGAAACCCAGAUGCCAGCUUGUUCAAAUGUGGUUGCUGCAAUAAGAGGGGAUGUAUAAGACGUGUCACGUGGCUCCCCACCCCCGAGUCCUCCUCCUCGGGGGAGCUCACACGUGGCCAGGGCUCACAUAUGGCUGAGACACGCUGCAGUGAAUCCAUGGCGCCUCAAGAAUCAGGCCACAGUCGUUAUCCAUCACCACCUCCCAGCAGCAAACCCAGCACUGUUCUUAGUGUCUUCUGGGAGGUGGGAGCCAAGCCAAGGCUGCAGCAGCCAGCUACCUGGCUGAGCCUUCAGACAGCCCCUCACCUGGGGAGUUCUCCUGCACGAAGACUCCACAGUCCUAUUUCUCCCCAAUUCAAGCCAAAUUGUUUCUUAAACUACGUUCCCCAAAACAACUUGAAGAGUGCCACCAAUGCCUGCAAAGUAAUGUGAGUUUCUUCCCUUUUUUUUUCCAUUGCCAUAAAAACCAGAAUGUUAUUUCUUCUUUACUCUGAUAAUGUCUGAUUAAAUGGAUUCAUUGUAGUCUUCUGCUGGA